AUUGAACGCUGGCGGCAUGCUUUACACAUGCAAGUCGAACGGUAACAGGCCGCAAGGUGCUGACGAGUGGCGAACGGGUGAGUAAUGCAUCGGAACGUGCCCAGUCGUGGGGGAUAACGCAGCGAAAGUUGCGCUAAUACCGCAUACGAUCUAUGGAUGAAAGCGGGGGACCGUAAGGCCUCGCGCGAUUGGAGCGGCCGAUGUCAGAUUAGGUAGUUGGUGGGGUAAAGGCUCACCAAGCCGACGAUCUGUAGCUGGUCUGAGAGGACAACCAGCCACACUGGGACUGAGACACGGCCCAGACUCCUACGGGAGGCAUCAGUGGGGAAUUUUGGACAAUGGGCGCAAGCCUGAUCCAGCAAUGCCGCGUGCAGGAAGAAGGCCUUCGGGUUGUAAACUGCUUUUGUACGGAACGAAACGGUCCUGGUUAAUACCCGGGGCUAAUGACGGUACCGUAAGAAUAAGCACCGGCUAACUACGUGCCAGCAGCAGCCGCGG
rnacentral:rRNA from 1 species